CGCGUAGGCGGUCUCUUAAGUCAGAUGUGAAAGCCCGGGGCUUAACCUCGGAAGUGCAUUUGAAACUAAGGGACUUGAGUAUGGGAGAGGGAAGUGGAAUUCCUGGUGUAGCGGUGAAAUGCGUAGAUAUCAGGAGGAACACCGGUGGCGAAGGCGACUUCCUGGACCAAUACUGACGCUGAGGCGCGAAGGCGUGGGGAGCAAACAGGAUUAAAUACCCUGGUAGUCC
rnacentral:rRNA from 1 species